AGACCCGAAACCCGGUGAUCUAGCCAUGGGCAGGUUGAAGGUUGGGUAACACUAACUGGAGGACCGAACCGACUAAUGUUGAAAAAUUAGCGGAUGACUUGUGGCUGGGGGUGAAAGGCCAAUCAAACCGGGAGAUAGCUGGUUCUCCCCGAAAGCUAUUUAGGUAGCGCCUCGUGAAUUCAUCUCCGGGGGUAGAGCACUGUUUCGGCAAGGGGGUCAUCCCGACUUACCAACCCGAUGCAAACUGCGAAUACCGGAGAAUGUUAUCACGGGAGACACACGGCGGGUGCUAACGUCCGUCGUGAAGAGGGAAACAACCCAGACCGCCAGCUAAGGUCCCAAAGUCAUGGUUAAGUGGGAAACGAUGUGGGAAGGCCCAGACAGCCAGGAUGUUGGCUUAGAAGCAGCCAUCAUUUAAAGAAAGCGUAAUAGCUCACUGGUCGAGUCGGCCUGCGCGGAAGAUGUAACGGGGCUAAACCAUGCACCGAAGCUGCGGCAGCGACACUGUGUGUUGUUGGGUAGGGGAGCGUUCUGUAAGCCUGUGAAGGUGUACUGUGAGGUAUGAUGGAGGUAUCAGAAGUGCGAAUGCUGACAUAAGUAACGAUAAAGCGGGUGAAAAGCCCGCUCGCCGGAAGACCAAGGGUUCCUGUCCAACGUUAAUCGGGGCAGGGUGAGUCGACCCCUAAGGCGAGGCCGAAAGGCGUAGUCGAUGGGAAACAGGUUAAUAUUCCUGUACUUGGUGUUACUGCGAAGGGGGGACGGAGAAGGCUAUGUUGGCCGGGCGACGGUUGUCCCGGUUUAAGCGUGUAGGCUGGUUUUCCAGGCAAAUCCGGAAAAUCAAGGCUGAGGCGUGAUGACGAGGCACUACGGUGCUGAAGCAACAAAUGCCCUGCUUCCAGGAAAAGCCUCUAAGCAUCAGGUAACAUCAAAUCGUACCCCAAACCGACACAGGUGGUCAGGUAGAGAAUACCAAGGCGCUUGAGAGAACUCGGGUGAAGGAACUAGGCAAAAUGGUGCCGUAACUUCGGGAGAAGGCACGCUGAUAUGUAGGUGAAGUCCCUCGCGGAUGGAGCUGAAAUCAGUCGAAGAUACCAGCUGGCUGCAACUGUUUAUUAAAAACACAGCACUGUGCAAACACGAAAGUGGACGUAUACGGUGUGACGCCUGCCCGGUGCCGGAAGGUUAAUUGAUGGGGUCAGCGCAAGCGAAGCUCUUGAUCGAAGCCCCGGUAAACGGCGGCCGUAACUAUAACGGUCCUAAGGUAGCGAAAUUCCUUGUCGGGUAAGUUCCGACCUGCACGAAUGGCGUAAUGAUGGCCAGGCUGUCUCCACCCGAGACUCAGUGAAAUUGAACUCGCUGUGAAGAUGCAGUGUACCCGCGGCAAGACGGAAAGACCCCGUGAACCUUUACUAUAGCUUGACACUGAACAUUGAGCCUUGAUGUGUAGGAUAGGUGGGAGGCUUUGAAGUGUGGACGCCAGUCUGCAUGGAGCCGACCUUGAAAUACCACCCUUUAAUGUUUGAUGUUCUAACGUGGACCCGUGAUCCGGGUUGCGGACAGUGUCUGGUGGGUAGUUUGACUGGGGCGGUCUCCUCCUAAAGAGUAACGGAGGAGCACGAAGGUUGGCUAAUCCUGGUCGGACAUCAGGAGGUUAGUGCAAUGGCAUAAGCCAGCUUGACUGCGAGCGUGACGGCGCGAGCAGGUGCGAAAGCAGGUCAUAGUGAUCCGGUGGUUCUGAAUGGAAGGGCCAUCGCUCAACGGAUAAAAGGUACUCCGGGGAUAACAGGCUGAUACCGCCCAAGAGUUCAUAUCGACGGCGGUGUUUGGCACCUCGAUGUCGGCUCAUCACAUCCUGGGGCUGAAGUAGGUCCCAAGGGUAUGGCUGUUCGCCAUUUAAAGUGGUACGCGAGCUGGGUUUAGAACGUCGUGAGACAGUUCGGUCCCUAUCUGCCGUGGGCGCUGGAGAACUGAGGGGGGCUGCUCCUAGUACGAGAGGACCGGAGUGGACGCAUCACUGGUGUUCGGGUUGUCAUGCCAAUGGCACUGCCCGGUAGCUAAAUGCGGAAGAGAUAAGUGCUGAAAGCAUCUAAGCACGAAACUUGCCCCGAGAUGAGUUCUCCCUGACCCUUUAAGGGUCCUGAAGGAACGUUGAAGACGACGACGUUGAUAGGCCGGGUGUGUAAGCGCAGCGAUGCGUUGAGCUAACCGGUACUAAUGAACCGUGAGGCUUAACCUUACAACGCCGAAGGUGUUU
rnacentral:rRNA from 1 species